AGCUAGGCGCAGUUGCUGUGACAACAGUUAUGUUACAGCGGCCAUUUUAACUGCCAUCCAAGGGACAGCCUGAAGAACAGUACAGUUCGAGUCCUGAGUGUCCCCCCAAAAUGUUUGGAGACUAUGCUGCUUCUUCUGUUUCUGUAAUGUAAGAUGCACAUGCCUGAUCUGAUUCCUGCAGAUGCCGAUAACAAGGGAAUUGAGCUACUCUACCAUCUGUGCGCCCCAAGCGCACAAGGUGACAGGCCGAGGAGGAGGAGGAAGAGGAGGAGAUGAUCGAGGAGGAGGAGCAGGAGGAGGAUGCACAGGAGGAGAGGGAUGAGGAGCAGCCAGGGCCCUCCCAGUCUUUACCACCCCCCAGCUCCUGUUGAGGAGGAAAAGGAGGAGCUGCAACCCCCCCCCCCCCCCAACUCCUUGUGAUGGAGAAGAGGAGCAGGAGGAUGAGACAGUUCCUGUGACCCCCAGGCAGGAGGUUUUCAAAAAGAUGGAAGAAAAACAGAGGGUCAUCCAGAGGACCAAUGACAAAAUCCUGUCCAUGCGCAGGAAAAUGCGCAUAUUAGACCGCCAAACACAACAGCUGGAGCAACAGCAGAGGAGGAAUUUGGAGGAGAUGGCUGAGCUCCACAAACUCAUGCAAAAAUAUUUUUAAUUAAUUUUUUCC